rnacentral:tmRNA from 1 species
UAUCGGUAAGGAAAUCUUUCACAACUGAGUCUGUCGGUUACUAGCGUGCGAGAGAACCGGGACAGAGAAAACGAAUAGCGCGCUACGCCCGUAGAAGCCCUGUUUCAGUGUCGAAGGACCCGGGUUCAAUUCCCGGCACCUCCACCA